AGUGAACGCUGGCGGUAGGCCUAACACAUGCAAGUCGAACGGCAGCACAGUAAGAGCUUGCUCUUACGGGUGGCGAGUGGCGGACGGGUGAGGAAUACAUCGGAAUCUACUUUUUCGUGGGGGGUAACGUAGGGAAACUUACGCUAAUACCGCAUACGACCUACGGGUGAAAGCAGGGGAUCUUCGGACCUUGCGCGAUUGAAUGAGCCGAUGUCGGAUUAGCUAGUUGGCGGGGUAAAGGCCCACCAAGGCGACGAUCCGUAGCUGGUCUGAGAGGAUGAUCAGCCACACUGGAACUGAGACACGGUUCAGACUCCUACGGGAGGCAGCAGUGGGGAAUAUUGGACAAUGGGCGCAAGCCUGAUCCAGCCAUACCGCGUGGGUGAAGAAGGCCUUCGGGUUGUAAAGCCCUUUUGUUGGGAAAGAAAAGCAGCAGGUUAAUACCCCGCUGUUCUGACGGUACCCAAAGAAUAAGCACCGGCUAACUUCGUG
rnacentral:rRNA from 1 species